GUGGGGUGAAUAGCUAGGGCUGGAACCUCAGAUGUGGAUAAGAAAGGCUGAGGCUUCCAUUCAAUGUGAUAUGUUGAUAUCUGGUUGUAUUCUUCUAGGUUCAAAAGUGAAGGUCUAGGAGCCACAGAGAUUCAGCAUUCGUGAUGGAGAUCAGAAUGUAGUGGUCCUGGACUGUGGGACCCUCUUAGCAGUUCCAAAGAAAAGCUACAUACUUUCAGAGACCUUCUUUGCAUUACCCUCACAUUUGAAAUCAACCACUGUGGGGAAAGGAGAUCCAAUUCUCUUGGCUGUCUCUAAAGGAGAGUUCUGUCUCUGUUGUGACAAGGACAAAGGGAAAAGCCAGCCAUCUCUUCACCUGAAGAAGAAGAAACUUGUGAAAUUAGCUGAUGAGAAGGAGGCAGCACGCAAGCCCUU
rnacentral:lncRNA from 1 species